CUGGCUAUUAGGAAGGAAAAAAAAAUGGUGUGGAGAAAGACGGGCUCUGGUUCCUUACGGCCCAUUUUCUCUCCAGGCUUUUCUUGGUUUCCAGCUUUUGCUUUUUAAAUUUUUCCCUGUCUUUUUGGUUGAAAAUGUACAAAAUGUGUAUUUUAAAUAUCAAAAAAUUAUACAUUUUGAACAUGACAAAAUCUUAGAUCCACAAUACGUUUUUACAAAAAUAUUAUUUUAAAAAUACCGUCUGCUUUCUCUCUACUUGAAUUAAAAUGUCAUGUUCAUUUCUUAUCUUCUGAUCUGUUCAAUCUGACAUUUGUUAGAUGUGAAAAAGUUCUGCAGACUAUUUCAGAGAAUAUUUUUAAAAUGUGAACAACCGACAUGUAAAAUGUCCGCGGGAGCACGCUUGCGGAGUUCACAUUCAUUUUUCAGACGCUGGGGUGCUGGGAACGGCGGGCGUCCUUCCUGGGUACCGCGGGGCGGCCGUCCCGGGCCGGGUCCCCUUCCUCCUCGGGGCACCGACGGCCUCUCCUGGCCGGGCUGAGGCCGGCUCGGCCCCGUGCGGCCUUCCGGUUUGCUAGCAUUUUCCUUCUGGGACGCGCACGGAGGCUGUGGAGAGACCCGGCCGGGGUCCGAGGGGGUGGGCGGCCCUAGCGCGGGUCGGGCCGCGGGUCCCACCUGCUGCCGCCCGCCCCGAGUGCCCCAGAGACUCUGCCGCCGCCCGAGCGCGCGGCCCGGGCCACCUGAUGGAACGUGCGGAGCUCACUCCUCCACCUGGCGCCCAUUUGGCUUUUUAUUAUCUGCCUCCCGCAUCCUAACUGGUUCCAGAUUUGCAACCUCAGAGGCGCAGACACCCGGCUGGGCCACGCCAUCGAUCCCCAGUCUAGAUGGAGUCUUGCUCUGUUGUCAGGCUGGAGUGCAGCGGCCACUGUUACCUCCGCCUCCCGGGUUCACGCGAUUCUCCUGCCUCAGCCUCCCAAGUAGCUGGGACUACAGGCCCAGCUCCAUGAUGAUGCCUCUCUCCAGAGACCUCCUGACCUCCUGACCUGCACAGCCCGGGAGACCACAGCCCACAGCCGCUGCCCCAGGUGUCCACAAGCAUCUCAGCCCCUCCACAGCCCACGCAUCUCCUCUUUCAUUGGCUCAUGGGGAGUGAAGGACAAUGUCUGAAUUAAAUGCCGUGCUUUAAACUGAAAGGGAAACUUAGCAAAUAAAUGAGAGUAACAACACUAGAUCAUUGGCCAGUGUGGUUGCAAUUCUUCCUUUCCCUCCAGAUUUCUGUUUAACCUUUAAAUCUCAUUUCGGCAUGCCUCUUGGUCCUCCUUGGAUUGAUAUUAAGUUGUACACAGGCUACUUCUUGUAAGACGAUGAGAACUCUUGCCGAUAUUUUACAACGUCUUACUCUGAACUUUCCCCUAUUCUUUCUGCCUAGAUGCAUUAUUUUCAGGAAAUCUAUGUUGUAAGACAGAGGUAGGCAAACCAGGGUUGCGGGCCAAGUCCUUCCCACAGCCUGUUUUUGUAAAUAAAGUUUUAUUGGAAUGCAGCCAAGCUUGUUCAUUUACACAUCAUCUAUGGCUGCUUCUGUCCUGCCAUAGCACUGUUGAGUAGUUGCGACAGAGACCACGUGACCUGCAAAGCCCAAAAUAUUUACUAUCUGACCCAUUACAGAAAACGUUGCCAAUAUCCUGUCGUAAGAUAUGCUGAAAUGUUUAAUUCUUUGAGGACUGGGGCACAAAAUUAUGUAUUUUUUUAAUCCACCAUGCUAAAAGAAGGAAAAUUCAUUUACUGUAAUAUGUCCUG
rnacentral:lncRNA from 10 species